CCUACGGGAGGCAGCAGUGGGGAAUAUUGGGCAAUGGGCGCAAGCCUGACCCAGCAACGCCGCGUGAAGGAAGAAGGCUUUCGGGUUGUAAACUUCUUUUCUCAGGGACGAAGAAAGUGACGGUACCUGAGGAAUAAGCCACGGCUAACUACGUGCCAGCAGCCGCGGUAAUACGUAGGUGGCAAGCGUUAUCCGGAUUGAUUGGGUGUAAAGGGCGUGUAGGCGGGAGGGCAAGUCAGAUGUGAAAACUCAGGGCUCAACCCCGAGCCUGCCUUUGAAACUGUGUGACUUGAGUGCUGGAGAGGAAGUCGGAAUGCCGGGUGUAGCGGUGAAAUGCGUAGAUAUACGGCGGAACACCAGUGGCGAAGGCAGAUUGCUGGACAGUAACUGACGCUGAGGCACGAAAGCGUGGGGAGCAAACAGGAUUAGAUACCCCUGUAGUC
rnacentral:rRNA from 1 species